AUUGAACGCUGGCGGCAGGCUUAACACAUGCAAGUCGAGCGGAGAUGAGGUGCUUGCACCUUAUCUUAGCGGCGGACGGGUGAGUAAUGCUUAGGAAUCCGCCUAUUAGUGGGGGACAACAUUCCGAAAGGAAUGCUAAUACCGCAUACGUCCUACGGGAGAAAGCAGGGGAUCUUCGGACCUUGCGCUAACAGAUGAGCCUAAGUCGGAUUAGCUAGUUGGUGGGGUAAAGGCCUACCAAGGCGACGAUCUGUAGCGGGUCUGAGAGGAUGAUCCGCCACACUGGGACUGAGACACGGCCCAGACUCCUACGGGAGGCAGCAGUGGGGAAUAUUGGACAAUGGGGGGAACCCUGAUCCAGCCAUGCCGCGUGUGUGAAGAAGGCCUUAUGGUUGUAAAGCACUUUAAGCGAGGAGGAGGCUACUGAGACUAGUACUCUUGGAUAGUGGACGUUACUCGCAGAAUAAGCACCGGCUAACUCUGUGCCAGCAGCCGCCGUAA
rnacentral:rRNA from 1 species